CUUUCUUUUUUUUCAUACAGCAUGGCAGCAAUGAACCUUUCAGGGUCGUCUGCAAGAGAAUGGAUUUCAAAACGUCGUCAAACCAUACAACCAUGGUCCCAAUUUAUCAGCACAUCUCGGUUCACCAAGCCCACAUCAGUCACUGUAGCUGGAACCAGGGUGGUCAAAAAUAUUGAGCAUUUCCAGAGCAACUAUCUCUUUGUUUUCAUCAUCCUUGCUAUCUACUGCAUAAUGACAUCACCCAUGCUUAUCAUCUUUCUUGGUGGUAUCUUUGGAGCCUUUUAUUGGAUCAAUGUCAAAAAUCAGAGCAAAAGACUCAAGAUCGGAAGUUAUGAGUUGACUCUUGUACAGCAGUAUGGUGCCGUGGCAGUCCUAUCUAUUCCCUUGUUUUUCCUUGCGGGGGCUGGAUCGGCAGUCUUCUGGGUUUUAGGUGCCUCAUUCUUUUUCAUCAUGCUACAUGCCGUUUUCUACAACCCACAAGAUCAACUAGAUGAUAUACAAAUGGAAGAAGUGUAAGCAUCCCCAUGACAACUUAAACCUCACUUGCUAUCACAUGCAGGGUUAAAAAUUAAUCCCAUGAGAGCUUAUGAGCUAUCAAUAGUGUACUCAAUGAUGCUAAGAUGUUUCUUUAUUCAAAAUAUCUUUUAACUGCCUAAAGAUUCAAAUAUUAUUUUUGCCAACUAUUUGUAUCAAAUGAAUGGAAUCAAAUGAAUUUUACAAAGUGCCUCUUUGAAUUAAAGAUCAUUAUGAAUUUAAUUUUGUUCUUAGAAAUUCUAUUAUUUGAUGUUUAUUAUGUUUUUCAGUAUACAUACUUAUAUUUAGAAAUGUAAUAAGAGUCACAGUGAUUCAACACAGUAACAAAUAUGGCUUUCCUGAUAUUUAUGCUCAUGUUAAUCAUGUUGUACAAUUAGAAGAAGAUAGCAAACCUUACAUCAUGUAACAUGUAAAUUUAUAUAUUUUGAGAAUAGGCUUACUUGGCAAUUAUUAGUUAUAUGUGAAAAUAACUAUUAUGAUCUAGAUAAUGUUCAUAUUGAAUAGCAGCCAAUAAUACAUUGAACUCAUUGGGGCUAAUUAUGUAUUCAUGAGGUCAUAUCUUGGGGCCCCGUGGACCGAUUCCCACCAAAUUUGGGUUGUGGGGUUGUUUCAUCAUGCUCAAGCAAAAUAUGGUACUAAAAAUGGUAAAAUACAACAAAAAAGAAGAAAUUGAUGAUGUCACUCUUUGGUACUCUAUUGAAAUUGAUCUUAAUCUCUUCCAAGCCUUUACCCAAGGGUCCCAUAACAGCUAUCCUGUCAAUAGUCAAACAAUUUUCAUGAUUAAUUGCUCAUUCAUUUUAGCCAGUGCAAUCAAUCAAAAUAAUUUGUGUUUUGAAGCCCAGCAGAGCAUUUCAUGAAUUUGUCAAAUCUAUUUAUCCGACGAAGUCUGUUUUGUCUGACAGUUACAAUAUGAACUGUGUUUCUCAAGCCAAUUAAAAUAAAAAAAGUCGUCCGAUCUGUGAGACGGCAAACCUUGAUGAAACCCCCUACAUAUAAUCAUGUUAUAUAUCCUGCUUUAACCAUUUCCAUUUCUCACUAUGCUCUCAAAACACUGAACACCACCACCAACAGUAAAUUAAAGUGACCCAUUUAUUUUGAUUAAUCAGCUUGCUAUAGAAAUAUGUGUGUGUUGCAACUGUACAGAGAAAUUGUAGAUUUCAUUAUAGUAAUAAUUUCUCAUGCUCUAUUUAGCCAAUUAAAUUUUGUCACAUUCCUUUAAUCAUUGCAUGUUUAAAAAAAAUCCAUUCCUUCUUCAUGGAAUUCUAAGGUAAUAAUGUCUUUCCUUCCUUUUAUAUUCCCCCUGCUUUUUCUUUACUAAAUUCUCUCUAUUUAUCCCUCCCUCUGUCUCUCUCUGACUCUGUUUCUCUACCUCUCUCUCUGUUUCUCUGUUCCUCUCUCCCACUGGCUCUUCAUCUCCCUCUUUCCUUCUCUCUUUUCUCUCACUACUCAUUUGCAGAUCAUUUGGCAGUGCAUGAGGUCCCUCACAACCAAAUGCUUCAUAACAUCCCUUCAAUGUGUUUGAUGGAUUCACCCAGCUUCAGGCUUCUUAACAUUGAAAACACCUUGCAUGCUAUUGGAUUAUUCCAUUUUCAUUGAAAGGGAUUUUGUCAAUACAAACUGCUGAGGAGACAUAAGUUUAGAGGACAUUUUUAUAUGUAGUUUUUGUAUAUCAUUUCAGAAUAAAGUCAUACUUGUACAUGUAUUUUUAUAGAGCUAUAUAUAUGUAUGUAUGUAUAUUAGCACAGAUAUUAGUUCCAAGUGCUGAACUGAAGUAAAACGGUGUAAAGGGUUGUUCAGAUAUGGGGCAAUUAUGUUUCCUUGCAUGUUUUUUAAAGCACAACAGAACUGAAUAAUAUUAUAUAAUAAUAAUUGUAAGAAUAUCCAAUUGAAGAGAUUUAUGAGUCCAAGGCCACCGCCCCAUCCCCCCUCCAAGAAUUUUUUUUUUGCUGUGACAUUUAUUUCCUAUCUCCUAUAUAUGUAUUCAUUGACUUUCUUCACAAAAGUAUGUUAGUGGUUUCUUUUUGACAGUUCUUUGUGCCAUAUCUGAACAUGCCUUUACAAGUUUAUGUUAUUACUGAGUUUUUAGUGCAUGACACUCUUUCUUACACUGUAGGCUGAUAAAAUAAGAUUCAAACUUAAACAUGUAUUGUAUUCUGGGAUUUUAUAACUGUUUUGACCAAAGGUAAUCUUUCAAACUGGUUGAUGUUAAUUGCUAGCUUGAUCUUUUAUAUUAGUGCUCCAGCUUGUUUCUUUGAAUGAUAUACGGUACAUGUAGCAAAGUAUCAAGUGGGUGUUUCAUAAAGCUGUUUGUAAGUGACUUCUUGAUGAUUGACUGGUGGUCCUUUCUUGUGGUAAAGGACACACACCAAAUUUUCAUUGAUGUUGAUUUAGCACUUAAGAAGGGAUCACCAGUUGAGCGUGAAGUGGCUUGUAACUUACAAACAGCUUUAUGAAACACCUAGCUAGGGUCUUCGGCCUUGUGGAGUAUAACUUAUUAAAAUCUAACAUGGAUAGGUAAACGUGUGUGAAGUGUACAUGAUAAGGAUGGAGUUUAGUAAGUAUGUCUAUGUAUACGAAUAGACACUCUUGUAUGAUAUCAAAUUGAUGAGAAAUUAUGUUAUGGAAUAUGGAUAAUAAACUAAUCUAUAAGAUAUUGUAGGGAAGAUUUUAUGAGAAUAGAGGGAUGAAUUACGACAUUUUGAUUAAAUGGAAUGUUAAAUAUCUAUAAUUGAAUGCAUGAAAAAUUAUUUUGCUAUGUUAAAAUUGUAGGCCUGUAUUUAAAUUAAAGCCGAGGUACAUUAAUCCACCUCAAAAUUUUGUAUAUCUAAUUUUUUGAAGAUGUCAUCCUCAUUCCGUAUACAUGCAUGUGAAAAAUAAUAAAAUUCAAUAACGAUAAUGGUAACAGAAAUUCGGCUCUGCCCUUUUCACAAUAUGUUCUAAUUAUUAUGCAUAGAGGAGUGUGUAGUGGCGAAAAAGUAAAAUUUAGGGUAUUUACAUUAGUGCCACAAGCACAGGGCACCAAUCUGAAUAGCCGAGAUCCCUGUAUCACCAACGACAUUGCAAACUUGAAUCUGUGCAUCAUUUGUUUUAUAAAUGAAUUGUAUGAAUUCUGCUAUUGGCUACAUCCUUUAGCCUGUUUGAUCAAUAAUUAAUUUUGCUCAUUUGCAUGGUAUUUUGGGUUUAUUUUGUGACAAUGUCGAUGUAUGUUUCACUUAAUAUUGCUUUGAAAAUACACGCAAUAUAUAACUUUUUA